GAUGAACGCUGGCGGCGUGCCUAAUACAUGCAAGUCGAGCGAACAGAUAAGGAGCUUGCUCCUUUGACGUUAGCGGCGGACGGGUGAGUAACACGUGGAUAACCUACCUAUAAGACUGGGAUAACUUCGGGAAACCGGAGCUAAUACCGGAUAACAUAUUGAACCGCAUGGUUCAAUAGUGAAAGGCGGCUUUGCUGUCACUUAUAGAUGGAUCCGCGCCGUAUUAGCUAGUUGGUAAGGUAACGGCUUACCAAGGCAACGAUACGUAGCCGACCUGAGAGGGUGAUCGGCCACACUGGAACUGAGACACGGCCCAGACUCCUACGGGAGGCAGCAGUAGGGAAUCUUCCGCAAUGGGCGAAAGCCUGACGGAGCAACGCCGCGUGAGUGAUGAAGGUCUUCGGAUCGUAAAACUCUGUUAUCAGGGAAGAACAAAUGUGUAAGUAACUGUGCACAUCUUGACGGUACCUGAUCAGAAAGCCACGGCUAACUACGUG
rnacentral:rRNA from 1 species